GUGGGGAAUAUUGCGCAAUGGGCGAAAGCCUGACGCAGCGACGCCGCGUGGGGGAUGAAUGCCUUCGGGUUGUAAACCCCUUUCAGCAGGGACGAAGCGAAAGUGACGGUACCUGCAGAAGAAGCGCCGGCUAACUACGUGCCAGCAGCCGCGGUAAUACGUAGGGCGCAAGCGUUGUCCGGAAUUAUUGGGCGUAAAGAGCUCGUAGGCGGUCUGUUGCGUCCGCUGUGAAAACUCGGGGCUUAACUCCGAGCCUGCAGUGGAUACGGGCAGACUAGAGGUAGGUAGGGGAGAAUGGAAUUCCCGGUGUAGCGGUGAAAUGCGCAGAUAUCGGGAGGAACACCGGUGGCGAAGGCGGUUCUCUGGGCCUUACCUGACGCUGAGGAGCGAAAGCGUGGGGAGCGAACAGGAUUAGAAACCCUUGUAGUCC
rnacentral:rRNA from 1 species